GUUUGGCUUCCAUUUCGAAAGGAUCUCACCUUGUCUGUUGCAAGAAGAAGAAGCUGGAAGGGGCAAGAGCAGAGAGACCAGUCAGAGGCCACUGAAAACACCUCAGUGGUUACCUUCAGAGAUAGGUUUCAGCUUGGAUGGGGUUGCAAGAGCCCAGCCACAUUCUGCAAGUCCUUCUUGAAGACUCCCUUCAAGGCCAGUUUACAAGACACUCCUCAAAAUCUACUUGGGAUUCCAAACAGCAUUGCAAGACUUGUCUACUCUGUACUAGUCUCCAGAUUCGACCACAAAUGGUUUUUGUCUAUUUCCAAACAUCAAAUCCACCUCCAGAAGAUUAAGAUUUGCCAUCUUCAAGGGUGUGCUGACAUCAGAAAUGCACUGUGGGCUCUGAAGGUCAUUCUCGAGAACGAGUCCCUAAAUGUGAACAGUGGGAGCAUUGUUUGAAAGUGAAGCUUUCCCGGGUGGUUACUUGUAAGACCACAUACCUCAUUUGUAUGCACCGAGUCACAAAACACCAGACCUGGAAGCGGCUGGAUGGCCUGGCUGGGACGAGGGUGAUGGGCAGCUCCACGGAGUCUGGGCCCCAAGUGCUUCACUGUCCACACUCUAGUCCCAGCCCUGCAUCGAGACUUUCCAGCUCAAGUUUAGGCUGUUCCUUGCUGCCCCAUGGCUUUGUUAAAAGUAUCAAUCACGUUAUUUUAUAUGCACAUGUUCGGAAUGGGGUUCUAAACAGUGAUAAUAGCAACAGAAAGAGAAAGCCACUGUGCAGGUUUAUGUUGGGUUGACCUCCUCCCACAACCCGGUAAGAUGCUCAAUGAUCCUGAUGAAAUGAACUAGACUUGAGACACGAUACUGCACAAUGUAUUGUACCUGAGAAAUAUAUUAUUCCUGUUACCGUGGCCAGGGUUAGCCACUGGUGCAACCCUUCUGCCUUGCAGACAGUGCUGAGAAUCACCAGUGUAUGGCUAUUUUUUUAAAUUUAAACUGUUACUAGUAUUGAUUUGUCUGAAUACUAGCCUACUAUUAAACACUGUAAAGUACUCUGCUUAGUAGAUUACCAUUAAAAUUCGAUCCCUGCCAAAUCAGAGGGAGAAGAAAUGAGAAAUGUAUUUAAAAAAAAUUUUUUUAAGUGCAUUUAUUGAGAGAAGAGAGGAGGAGCAGAGAGGGGGAGGAGAGAGAGAAUCCCAAGCAGGCUCUGCACUGCCAGACAAAGUUUGAUGUGGGGCUCAAACUCAUGAACCAUGAGAUCAUGAUCUGAGCUGAAACCAAGAGUCAGACGCUAAACCGACUGAGCCACCCAAGUGCCCCAAGAAAAUGUGCUCUGCCAGAGAUUGGUGGAAGUCAAAAAGAAGGAAGAGUUUGGGGCAAAUCUGAGAGCUGAACUGAUCGAAAGCAAAAUUGCCUACCUCAUGUGACAGUAAAUUGGCUGCCAUGCAGGCAUUCAAGUAGAGGUGGGAUGGCUUUUGGGGGGAUGGUGUAAGGGUUUCUACAAUGAGCUACAGACCACCUCCUGCCACCCCGUCCCUCUCCAUAAUUGUGUUUCCAGAAUUCUAUGACAUCAGCUUAUAGGAUGAAUAUCUUCAUAACACAGAGGUUACCACAUUCUCUAAAUAAACCAUUAGCCUCUGCCUUUUUGCCUGUUUUAAUGUAGCACAUUUUCUUAGGUUUUUUUUGGGUUGUUUGUUUGUUUGUUUUGUUUUGUUUUUUAUCAAAACUUUAAGCCCUGUUGAUGCAUGGAGCCUUCCUGAUUCCCCAGGGGAGGUAUUGACUUCAUAUCCAGUUCCCACCUCAAUAAGGACAGGGUUUGCCUUCGCAUCAGGAUUUCUGAACAGCGAUGGGCACUGAUGGGGCAAAGAAGGGGCAUCUCGGUAAAUCUUCAUGAAUAGUCUAUAACGCAAAAAUUCGGAUCUGUGUUUUAUAAAAGAGGAAACUGGAGUCCUGGAAGGUGUGGUUGUUCAGGAUCGAACAGCUUGCUGGUGACUAGCGGGCAUUCUUCCCCAGGUCCGAUGGCCCCAAAGCGCCUGCUCUUUGCAUUCUACCCAGAAACCUAGACACAAGGGUUCGAAGGAGGAGACAGCUUCUAAGCAACCCCGCCAGAUCCGAAAAACUGGCCCUGCCUGUCUGCUCUGAUGCUGAAGUAAGAUUAAAUCAGCUCCUUUGUCUCUUCGAUCCAUUUAGUAAAUAUUUCCUGAGAAAUAACUCCAUGCCAGGCACUGGGGACAAGUGCAGGCCCUAAUGGAGCUUACAUUCUGGGGAAAGGAUCAGAGUAAUGAGUAAUAUAUGAUGUGUUAGGUGGAGCUAAAUGCUAUAAAUUCUGAGUUAAAACGAUGGGUGGGCAGUGGGGCGGGGUGGUGGGGUGUAUAUUAAAUAAGUCAGAGAUUCCUCUGUUCAGGUUGAGCAGAACCUGAAUGAAGUGAGAGGGCAAGCAAUGCUAAUGGGGAAAGGGUGUUCAGGCAGCCAUGCAAAGGCCCUGGGGUUUGUUCAAGCAAGAGAAAAGAGGCCCCGUGAACUUGCAGCAGGAGCACAACUUACUCUCCUGAGAUCAAAACCAGAGUCAAAAGGGAUCUGAAAGUUCCAAUGUGGCUCUCCAAACUUGGUCAAGGCACACCUGGGUGAUUUGUCUGCAUCACAGAAAAAAGAGCAGGUACGUGAUUAAGAACAGCUCAUAUCUCAGGGCACCUGGGUGGCUAAGUCGGUUGAGCCUCUGACUUUAGCCCAGGUCACGAUCUCAUGGUUCCUGAGUUUGAGCCCCACAUCAGGCUCACUGCUAUUAGCGCAUAGCCCGCUUUGGAUCCUCUGUCCCCCCUCUCUCUGCCCCUCCCCUCUUUGUGCACGCACAUACACGCUCCUUCUCUCUCUCUCAAAGAUAAACAAAACAAAGCAAAAAAGAACAGCUUAUAUCUUUAUUUUAUAGUCUUAAAGUGCUCCUACACACACAAUCCCUCAGGACCUCACAACCUGGAAAGGUGGCCACUGUGCUCCUCUCACACGUUAAAGAAAGGUUAAGUGGCUGGCCCAAGGCCACCCAGCGACAAGGCAGGUUCAAAUCCAUACUCCUGUCUGCAUUAUCCUCUCCUCAAAGCCAGGCUUCAUCUUCUCUCACUGCAACCACCCUCUGGCCCAGAGCCUGCCAGAGCCUUCUAGAUCCACAGUAAAUGCCACUUGAUGCUGUUGACGAAGACUGUCACAAAGGGGGCUUCCCAGAACAGAUGAAGUGGCAAAAGCAAUCAGAAUUUGUCCCGGGCUAGGCAGGGUGUUGAGUCUAUUCUUGGCAUCCUACAGAUGGAAAUUCUAAGACCCAAAGAGGAAAAUGACCUCCCCAAGUUCCCAGAAUGAACAGAGAUCUCGAGAGUUUAUGCCCAGUUCCUCCGUACAACUUCCCUGGCAAAGAAUAUCUAUCUGUAUUUCACUUCUUUGAAGAGACGUGAAACAAAGCAACUAAGAAAUUAGGAACUUGGUUCCAGAGUCAGGCAACCAGCCCUUGAUCUGAAACCUUCCUACUUUUUCUCAAUGUGGCUUAGGUAGAAACAUAUUCUUUGAAGACUCGGGUGGGGUUUUUUUGUUUGUUUUUGUUUUUAAGACUAUUUUUUUUUUUUAGAACAUUGUUAGCUUCACAACGAAACUGAGAGGGAUACACAGAGAUUUGCCACAUACUCCUUAUGCCCACACAUGUAUCGCCUCCCCAUUAUCAGCAUCACCGGCCCCGUUGGUACAUUUUUUUUUUUUUUAACCAAGGAUGAACCUACAAUGACA